UACGAACCGUGCGAACGUUGUUCGGAAUCACUGGGCUUAAAGGGCGCGUAGGCGGGGUCGUAAGUUCGUGGUGAAAUCUCCCGGCUCAACCGGGAAACUGCCGUGGAUACUGCGACUCUCGAGGGGUGUAGGGGCAUGCGGAACUUCCGGUGGAGCGGUGAAAUGCGUAGAUAUCGGAAGGAACGCCGGUGGCGAAAGCGGCGUGCUGGACACCUACUGACGCUGAGGCGCGAAAGCCAGGGGAGCGAACGGG
rnacentral:rRNA from 1 species